UACGUAGGUGGCAAGCGUUAUCCGGAAUUACUGGGCGUAAAGCGCACGCAGGCGGCUAGUCAAGUUCGACGGUGAAAGCUCCCGGCUUAACUGGGAGAGGUCGUUGAAAACUGGUUAGCUUGAGGCAUGAGAGGGGUGUAGAAUUCCCGGUGUAGUGGUGGAAUGCGUAGAUAUCGGGAGGAAUACCAGUGGCGAAAGCGGCACCCUAGCGUUGUUCUGACGCUCAUGUGCGAAAGCGUGGGGAGCGAACGG
rnacentral:rRNA from 1 species